AUUCAUGUUAACCAAAAUAAACCAAAUAUAAAGGGGAUUAGGUUUUACGUGUGACUGAAGAGCAAAAAGCAAAGCCUACUCUCCUCUUCUCGCAAACGACGACGGUCGCGACUCUCAGCAUCUCCGACCACCGCGUUGUUCCCAUCGUCCGACCACCAUAAAACGAGACCUCCAUCGUUCGCUCUCUCUUCUCUCUAAGCGCUCCCAUGGUCUCAUUCCCCGUUCUCUCUCGAUCUCUCCGAUCUCCAUCCUUCUCUCGUCUCCGUCGAAGACGAAAAACAUGAAUCGACCUCAUCUCUCAUAUUUCUCGUCUCUCCGCUCUUAGCUCUCUUCGAUUCAAAGUCCCCACAUAUCGUCUCCGUUCAGACUCUCACAAGAACCGCGGCGCACACCUCCCUCAGUUCUCAUCCGAUGUGAUUUCUUGCAUAUUUCAAUUCUACGUUCCUGAUGAUUGGAGCGUGAUGUUGUUGUUGAAUGUUGAUGAAGGUGAUGAUGGAAACGUUGCGGAAUUGGAGAAGAUUUUGGAUUGCCGUGAAUGCUAAUGAACCAGAAUCUUCGCUGAGUUGUUGUUGAUGUUGUUUCAGAUACGGUUUCGUGGCGUUGAUGUAUAGAUGAAGGAGGUUGAGGCUCUUUGCUGCAGAAUUGAGAUCGAAAAUUCGAAGAAGAUGAGAUUGACACGUGAAGAUGAAGGAGAUUGAAGGCGUGAGCGUGAUGAAAGCCAAAAAAAAAUGUUGAAGAAUUGGUUCUCUUUCCGUGAGUAUUGCAAUCGGUGAUUGAAGGGAGAUGAAGAUUCAAGCCAUGGUGAAGGAUUCUGAAGGUGCCUGAUGAAGAGUUGAUUGAAGGCGUUAAGAAGAUGAAGAUUAGAGAGGAUUUUUUUGUGAAGAGUGAUGAAGGGAUGAUAUGCGGAUUUUUCGAUUGUGAAUUUCUAGUUCUAUAUGUUGGUGAGUCGAAGAUGGAGAAGAUUGAGGAAGGUUGAGAUGUGGUUAUCGGAUUGAAGAAGUGUGGAGGAUCGGUGAUGAAGUUUUGUUGAUGAAGAGAGAAAGAUCAAAAUUCCAUGGGAAUUGAGAGAGUCAAGGUCCUGAGAGAAAGUUGGUUACGGUUCUGUUACAGGUUGGAAGUCGAACAUUUGGGAGCACGGUUGGAAAAAGUUACGAAUAAGAUUCCAAGAAUGAUCAAGAAGUAUGAAGAUGUUGGAUGAGUUUCUGAUUUUUUGUUGUUGUAUUUUUUUUUAAAUGGGCUUGGACCUUAUCUGAACUUGAAGUAAUGGACUUUGAACAAAGUGUAGUGAUAAGAAAUGGCUUGGAAUAGUGUAAUACAUUUGGAUUUUUUUUGUAAUGAAUAUGGGUAGAAACUUGAAUAAAACCAAUGCGUAAGCUCUUUAUCUCAAUUUAAUUACUUUUUGAACAUUCCACUUCAAAGUUUAAUGAAUGAAUCCCGACCAACUUACACCUCCAAUGAACCUCUAAACCAAUCCAAUUUUCGAUCCUAACCAAACUUGUGUGAUAAGCCGCCGAUAAAUUGAAUGUAUAAUGGUGCCUUGAUUUAUCAACUCAUUACCAAUGCCUUGAACAAUCUUUGAAGACGAAUUUGAUUUGAAGCAUAAAAGCAACCUCAUCACACAAUCUAAUUAACCUCGGUUGGAUCUUAACAAACUCAAAUACUCAAAUGAGAAACUCUUUAAUUUUUCUUGAUUUUUGAGCGACGAAAUAAACGUCCCUCCAUAACUUAUAGCAUAGGAAAGAGGGCAAAUUUUGGGGUGCAAC